rnacentral:rRNA from 1 species
GAUGAACGCUGGCGGCGUGCCUAAUACAUGCAAGUCGAGCGAACAGACGAGGAGCUUGCUCCUCUGACGUUAGCGGCGGACGGGUGAGUAACACGUGGAUAACCUACCUAUAAGACUGGGAUAACUUCGGGAAACCGGAGCUAAUACCGGAUAAUAUAUUGAACCGCAUGGUUCAAUAGUGAAAGACGGUUUUGCUGUCACUUAUAGAUGGAUCCGCGCCGCAUUAGCUAGUUGGUAAGGUAACGGCUUAUCAAGGCAACGAUGCGUAGCCGAGCUGAGAGGGUGAUCGGCCACACUGGAACUGAGACACGGUCCAGACUCCUACGGGAGGCAGCAGUAGGGAAUCUUCCGCAAUGGGCGAAAGCCUGACGGAGCAACGCCGCGUGAGUUAUGAAGGUCUUCGGAUCGUAAAACUCUGUUAUUAGGGAAGAACAAAUGUGUAAGUAACUAUGCACGUCUUGACGGUACCUAAUCAGAAAGCCACGGCUAACUACGUG